AACGAACGCUGGCGGCAUGCCUAACACAUGCAAGUCGAACGAGACCUUCGGGUCUAGUGGCGCACGGGUGCGUAACGCGUGGGAACCUGCCCUUAGGUUCGGAAUAACUCCCCGAAAGGGGUGCUAAUACCGGAUAAUGUCUUCGGACCAAAGAUUUAUCGCCUUUGGAUGGGCCCGCGUUGGAUUAGCUAGUUGGUAGGGUAAAAGCCUACCAAGGCGACGAUCCAUAGCUGGUCGGAGAGGAUGAGCAGCCACACUGGGAAUGAGAAACGGCCCAGACUCAUACGGGAGGCAGCAGUGGGGAAUAGUGGACGAUGGGAGAAAGCCUGAUGCAGCGAUGCGGCGUGUGUGAAGAAGGUCUUCGGAUUGUAAAGCAAUUUAAGUUGGGAGGAAGGGCAGUAAGUUAAAACCUUGGUGUUUAGACGUUACCAACAGAAUAAGCAACGGCUAACUGCGUG
rnacentral:rRNA from 1 species